UACAGCUUGUCAAGCUCCUCAAGAUCCCAGGCUCAAAACUGACAAGUAUUCCUCUAGCAGGUUUCAUGCUGACUCCUUUAUUUCUGUAGAAAUGCAGGAACUGUUUGAGGUAUGUUGUGACUCUGCCUCCUCUGAUCUCCCCUGCAGCUGGCAACAGCUCCAAAGAAUUCUCUUGCUGAGUUUCUGUGGCUCUCCAGGGCACUUGAAGGGUUGUUGGAAUACGUCUGAAGUCCUGUCUCUGUGAUGCUCUGCCCCAUGGCAGUGGCAGAGAUCCAAGAUCUGCCCUGCUAUGCAUGUCGAGCUGUGGAGUCUCCAGUGGCAAGCCUGUGCCUCAUCUUUUGUCAUCUUGUGCCUGUCCUCCCCACUGCAUUCUGUGUCUCCACAUCUCAGGGCCUCAGCUAUUACCCCUUUCCUGUGGAAGCCUGUAAUUCUCCACGCUGCACCAUCAUGUUGGUUCUAGGUAUUUUGUUCUACGCAGAACAACUACUUGUUGCUCCUGUCUGCACAUAACUACAGUGAUACCAUACAAGAAUAAGGAAAACUAAAAUAAAAUCAUCUAUAACCAUGUGGUCAGAAGAAAAAAAUGCUAAUCCAAGUUAAAAGAAAACUUGCAGGCAAGUCAACAAAUGUUGAGUUGAGGCAAGUCUGGUGUGACUCAGGGCUGAGGCCUUGCAAACUUGUGGCAAAGCAUGUGGCUUGCUGCUAGCAUUGGCAGUAUCUGAUACAGGGCUACAUGUUACAUGUAGCAAAAGCUGCAUCAGCAGAAUGCAGUAAGCAAUGGAGAGAAUAAUGCUGCCGCAUGACAUUCCAGCCAGAGUUACAGUGCUGUCUGGCCCUGCUGACAGAAAUAAGGCUGUACAGGUGCAGAGCAGCAACAUCUGGGAUCUUAAUUACUGCUGUACAAUAAAACAACCCAGCCUGGCGUUACGGUCUCACUCCAAGUUAGCUGUACAGAGGCUUGAGUGGAAAAAUAGCUUACUGGUGAGAUCAGACUGUUCAAUCCAGGGAAGAAAGAAGAGCAGCUUGUUAUUAAAAUAGAAGGCAAAAUGGGGCAGUUUCUCUUCCUGUCAAAUAACUGGUAAAUCUUCUCAGAGUCUGUGCUUCGCAUGCUUUGCUAGAUUUGGUUACCUCUGUCCUGUGAGAGUAAAAAAUUCUUGGCAGGGGAAAUGCUGUUUUCACAAGUACUGAGUGCCAGGCUUUUAAAAAUUAAUACUAUGUAGAGAACAUCCUUUGUUUUUAUGAAAAGGUUGUUGAAACAGCCCAAGUUCCAGACAGACUUUAAGUAAUACUUUGCAUAUUUUCAGGAACAAGGACUGGUUUUCACUGGAAGCGCAGUGAGGCCGGGUAUCUCUCAUCAGCUACAGGUGAAUGUGUUCUCUGUAGGUGGGGAGGGGAAGCAGCAGUCGCUGGUGUGCCUCCAGCUGGGAGGGUUCAGGGCAGAGCUUGGCACUUGGGCUGUGGUUUGUGCUCCAGAGGCCUCUCAGGUGACUCCGACUAAGUGUCCUUUGAAGUCCCCAACCCUGGGGCACUCCAGGGAGUUCCUCCAAGUUAAUGAAAGCCAGGCUGCAGCAGCUAAAACUUCAUUAAACCUGCAAGAUUGGA